CACGUCAUCCCCACCUUCCUCCGGUUUGGCACCGGCAGUCCCCCGAGAGUCCUCAGCGCCUUGCGGCCUGUUAGCAACACGGGGCGGGGGUUGCGCUCGUUGCGGGACUUAACCCAACAUCUCACGACACGAGCUGACGACAGCCAUGCAGCACCUGUGCUGGAGCUCCGAAGAGGGGCCAAUGUUUCCAUCAGCUUUCCCCAGCAUGUCAAGCCUAGGUAAGGUUCUGCGCGUUGCGUCGAAUUAAACCACAUGCUCCACCGCUUGUGCGGGCCCCCGUCAAUUCCUUUGAGUUUCAGCCUUGCGGCCGUACUCCCCAGGCGGGGCACUUCAUGCGUUAGCGCCGGUACUCCAAGGGUCGCUCCCCGGAGCACCUAGUGCCCAUCGUUUACGGCGUGGA
rnacentral:misc_RNA from 1 species